rnacentral:rRNA from 1 species
CCCUUAGAUGUUCUGGGCUGCACGCGCGCUACACUGACACACUCAGCGAGUCUCCUGGCCCGAGAGGGUUGGGUAAUCAUGUGAGCGUGUGUCGUGAUGGGGAUAGAAUAUUGUAAUUAUUGCUCUUCAACGAGGAAUUCCUAGUAAGCGCGAGUCAGCAGCUCGCGCUGAUUACGUCCCUGCCCUUUGUACACACCGCCCGUCGCACCUACCGAUUGAAUGGUCCGGUGAAAUCUCGGGACGGCGGCUUGGUCGCUUGCGUCCGACUGCUGAAACUUGAUUAAACCAUAUCAUUUAGAGGAAGGUGAAGUCGUAACA